UUUCCGUAGGUGAACCUGCGGAAGGAUCAUUAAUGAAUAUUAGGGUGCUUCUCUUCAUCAGAGAAGGCCCGACCUUCAUUUCCAACACUGUGAACUUAAAAUAGAGGACUUGCGCAAGCGAGAACUCUUUCAUUUUAAAACUCUACAAGUUAAAGAAUGUAACCAAACCAAAACAAAAAAAAACUUUCAACAACGGAUCUCUUGGCUCUCGCAUCGAUGAAGAACGCAGC
rnacentral:misc_RNA from 1 species